UAGAGUUUGAUCAUGGCUCAGGAUGAACGCUAGCGGCAGGCCUAACACAUGCAAGUCGAGGGGUAACGUGAGUGCUUGCACUUGACGACGACCGGCGCACGGGUGCGGAACGCGUAUGGAACCUACCUUUAUCAGGGGGAUAGCCCAUGGAAACGUGGAUUAAUACCCCAUAGUAUUAUUUUAUUGCAUGAUAGAAUAAUUAAAGAAUUUCGGAUAGAGAUGGCCAUGCGUAUCAUUAGCUAGUAGGCGAGGUAACGGCUCACCUAGGCGACGAUGAUUAGGGGUCCUGAGAGGGAGAUCCCCCACACUGGUACUGAGACACGGACCAGACUCCUACGGGAGGCAGCAGUGAGGAAUAUUGGGCAAUGGAGGCAACUCUGACCCAGCCAUGCCGCGUGCAGGAAGACGGCCCUAUGGGUUGUAAACUGCUUUUAUACAGGAAGAACACCACCCACGUGUGGGUGACUGACGGUACUGUAAGAAUAAGGACCGGCUAACUCCGUGCCAGCAGCCGCGGUAAUACGGAGGGUCCAAGCGUUAUCCGGAAUCAUUGGGUUUAAAGGGUCCGUAGGCGGGCUAAUAAGUCAGAGGUGAAAGUUUGCAGCUCAACUGUAAAAUUGCCUUUGAUACUGUUAGUCUUGAGUUAUAGUGAAGUGGUUAGAAU
rnacentral:rRNA from 1 species